GCCUCUUUCCAGCCGUUCUUCAAUUUCCUCAACAGGCCUUGAGAGCCGGUGCCCGCAAGGGCUCCUGGGUUCAAAUCCCAGCCCCGGCG
rnacentral:tRNA from 1 species